rnacentral:tmRNA from 1 species
CCCCUUGAACCGGCGGAAAAGAUGCUCCAUAUUACUCCUGUCCUUCGGGACUAUGGAUGUAGACGGAUUCUGUGCGACUAUUCAGGACCCCGGGGCGGUACCGGGCGGGUCCACCACAAGCGCUCUGAUCGGCAGAGCGUUUUUGAUGGGCCCGAAAUAGGAUCGACUGGUGGUUAAGUGGUCUCUUGCAUCUCGGCUGUCUGCCACCGUUAUCGGCGAAAACAGUACAAUUGCAAACGACAAUCGUGCUCCGGUUGCUCUGGCUGCGUAAGCAGUUCGAGUCGAACCGACUUUAAGUCCUCUCGCCUAGCAGCGUGAGGCGGGGUUCGCAGGUACCUGGCAACAGAAACCUGCACU